UGGCAGUUCUCAGUUCUCAGUAGUUGUUAGUGUUCUAGUGGCGGAUAGUUGGCUUCAAGUGCGCUUUGCCGCGGCAACGUGGUUAUAGUUCUCAUAGCCAAGUUGUCGCACGCGGCGGCAUUUUCUUUGGGGAACGCUUGCCAAGCAAUACAGGCUUGCGGGGUUCCAAACACCUAUACAUAGCGGCAAAGAUGCCGGGAAGCGAAAUAAUAUUUGCACAAAACAGUGGAACAGUCCGCGGUGAAAUUUUCAAUUAGUUCAGAGAAAAAGCACAAAUGACAGAAGAAGGCACGAAGGACAUCAUAUCAAAAAUGGCACCCAAACUACGUACACAUAACUAGUCACUUCAACCUUUUUUUUCAAAAGUGAUUCAUGAUUAUGUACAACAAGAAAAAUACGACUGUAUAAGUCAAUCGGCAGAUGUUACCGGCGCCCUUUAUAUACUCAUAGUUUCCGACGUGAUUGCAUUUAAACUGGAUGACCCUAUUUGCCAAUGAGUUCAGUGUGAAACCUAUCAUGUUUCUCUUUGUGAUGUUAUAUUAGCUUUAAUUGAUUCAAUAAAGGGCAUGGUCAAUUUAA